GAUAAACGCUGGCGGCGUGCAUAACACAUGCAAGUCGAACGAAGUGGCGAACGGGUGAGUAACACGUGAGUAACCUGCCUUACACAAGGGGAUAGCCUUUGGAAACGAAGAAUAAUACCCUAUAGUGUAAGAUGGACUUUCGUCUGAUUAGCUAGUUGGUGAGAUAAAAGCCCACCAAGGGGACGAUCAGUAGCAGGCUUGAGAGAGUGUCCGGCCACAUUGGUACUGAGACACGGCCCAAACUCCUACGGGAGGCAGCAGUGGGGAAUUUUGCACAAUGGGGGAAACCCUGAUGCAGCGACGCCGCGUGUAUGAAGAAGGCCCUAGGGUUGUAAAGUACUUUCAGUCGGGAGACGUUACCGACAGAAGAAGCACCGGCUAACUCCGUGCCAGCAGCCGCGUAAUAC
rnacentral:rRNA from 1 species